GAGCGGUAGCACAGAGAGCUUGCUCUCGGGUGACAAGCGGCGGACGGGUGAGUAACGCGUAGGAAUCUACCUAGUAGUGGGGGACAACAGUUGGAAACGACUGCUAAUACCGCAUACGCCCUAAGGGGGAAAGCGGGGGAUCUUCGGACCUCGUGCUAUUAGAUGAGCCUGCGUGAGAUUAGCUAGUUGGUGAGGUAAAGGCUCACCAAGGCGACGAUCUCUAGCUGGUCUGAGAGGAUGAUCAGCCACACUGGGACUGAGACACGGUCCAGACUCCUACGGGAGGCAGCAGUGGGGAAUAUUGCACAAUGGGCGCAAGCCUGAUGCAGCAACGCCGCGUGAGCGAUGAAGGCCUUCGGGUCGUAAAGCUCUGUCCUCAAGGAAGAAUAAAUGACGGUACUUGAGGAGGAAGCCCCGGCUAACUACGUGCCAGCAGCCGCGGUAAUACGUAGGGGGCAAGCGUUAUCCGGAAUCACUGGGCGUAAAGGGUGCGUAGGUGGUUUGAC
rnacentral:rRNA from 1 species